GUGUUGUCCUGAAGUCAACUGUUAAUAUUAUUUACGUAAUUACAUUAUAAUAUUUUUGUAUUACUUGAUAAUAUUUUGUAUUAGUAACUACAAUGCUUUAAUUUGGAGUUAAAGUUGUUUAUAUUUAUUGUACUUUAUAAUCGGUAAACAGCAGUUAGAUGAUGUCACUUCCGCUAAAUUACUUCCUGUUGGUUGACUUCCGGUAUUUGUUCGAAAGCUAGAGAUACAUUUUGUGGUCUUCUGUAGUACUUUCUGUUGCCAUCCUACACAAAGCGGCGAAGAAGCAAUGCCUUUUUCACCAUCUUGUCUAUGAAGGAAUUGUCAAAAGUAAAUGGUCAAGCUUACAA